rnacentral:misc_RNA from 1 species
GAAAUGCGAUAAGUAAUGUGAAUUGCAGAAUUCAGUGAAUCAUCGAGUCUUUGAACGCACAUUGCGCCCCCUGGCAUUCCGGGGGGCAUGCCUGUCCGAGCGUCAUUGCUGCCCAUCAAGCCCGGCUUGUGUGUUGGGUCGUCGUCCCCCCCGGGGGACGGGCCCGAAAGGCAGCGGCGGCACCGUGUCCGGUCCUCGAGCGUAUGGGGCUUUGUCACCCGCUCGAUUUAGGGCCGGCCGGGCGCCAGCCGACGUCCAACCAUUUUUCUUCAGGUUGACCUCGGAUCAGGUAGGGAUACCCGCUGAACUUAA